GACGAACCGAGCGAACGUUAUUCGGAAUCACUGGGCUUAAAGGGUGCGUAGGCGGGCCCGUCAGGCAGGGGUGAAAUCCCACGGCCCAACCGUGGAAGUGCCUCUGAUACUGCGGGCCUGGAGGGGGAUAGGGGCGUGCGGAACUUCCGGUGGAGCGGUGAAAUGCGUAGAUAUCGGAAGGAACACCGGUGGCGAAAGCGGCGCGCUGGAUCACUACUGACGCUGAGGCACGAAAGCCAGGGGAGCAAACGGG
rnacentral:rRNA from 1 species